CGGACUCAUAUCAGUCUAUGCAACCUUGCGGAGGGGACCCCCGCCCGCCCCCCCUAAGAGAGACCAGAACACCAAGCUCUCCAGGGACUGGUAGCUACCGCAGGUCUUUGCUGUCAUGGUUUCUGUAAUCAGUUCUACAAUCAGCUCGCCUGGUCAUCUAGGAAUUCAGGUGUCGGAGCCUUCUGAAGUACAAACUAGUACAAAAGGGAUCCUUUUUGUUCAAAACUUUGGUAUCACAAUUAUGUUGGACUGCUAUGUCAAGGUUUUGGCAACUAUGAACAUUCAAGUCUUUGUGUGAACACAAUCGUCAUUCCUCGUAAGUAACCACCACAGGAAGGAGGCCAGAUCAGCUGGUAGGUGUAUGUCUGGCCUCAUAAGAAACUGCCAACUGUUUUCCAAAGUGACUGAGACAUGUUGCAUUCUUACCAGCCAUGUAUAAGAGCUCCUGCUGCACCGCUCUCUCUCCCACUUGGUGUUGUCAGUGUUUUUAACUGUAGCCAUUCUAGAGGGUGUGUAGUGGUACUGAGUUUGGUUCACAGUGGCUUUAACUUGCAUUUCCCUCAUAACUAACACUGAGCAUCUUGCCUGGCCAGUGUGGCUCAGUGGUUGAGAGUCGCCCCAUGAACCAUGAGGUCAGGGUUCAAUUCCAGGCCAGGGCAGAUACCCAGGUUUCAGGCUCAAUCCCUAGUAGGGGGUGUGCAGGAGG